GUUUCAGGCACUGAUAUCUUCUCGCGAUCGCCCAGAAAAUACUUGCUCAUUUGGCAGUUACGUGUGAAUAGUCAUUUUUCCAGAGCGGAACCAGGAACGUCGAUAUUUUUUCCGUUUGUGAUUGAGAAUUGCGUUUCAGCAGGAAGCAAGUCUCCGGAAGGGAAUGAGGCCGGGAAUUUCAAAUGAAAUGUAGUCAUUUGACCGCUAGGAGCUGUGAACUACAACUGCAGUAGGUUUCUGCAGCUUCAUAGCUCCAUUGAACGAGUCAUAAACCAAAAAUUGAAGAUGAAAGCAUGCGUAGAUGGCCUGAAAGCUAAGAAUAUACUCAAGCCUUAAGUACAGUAUGGGCACAGAAAGCACAGUGUCAUGCAGUGUAAGGCUUAAAUAAAAGGAUGGAUAACUGUCUGGUUGAAA